GGGCCCGUGGUCUAGUGGCAUGACGCAUCCUUGACUUGGAUGAGGUCGCCAGUUCGAAUCUGGUCGGGCCCA
rnacentral:tRNA from 1 species